rnacentral:rRNA from 1 species
UACAGAGGUCUCAAGCGUUUGUUCGGAUUCAUUGGGCGUAAAGGGUGCGUAGGUGGCGCGGUAAGUCGGGUGUGAAAUCUCGGAGCUUAACUCCGAAAUUGCAUUCGAUACUGCCGUGCUUGAGGACUGGAGAGGAGACUGGAAUUUACGGUGUAGCGGUGAAAUGCGUAGAUAUCGUAAGGAAGACCAGUGGCGAAGGCGGGUCUCUGGACAGUUCCUGACGCUGAGGCACGAAGGCCAGGGGGAGCAAAACGGG